UACGUAGGGUGCAAGCGUUAAUCGGAAUUACUGGGCGUAAAGCAUGCGCAGGCGGCUUUGCAAGACAGAUGUGAAAUCCCCGGGCUCAACCUGGGAACUGCAUUUGUGACUGCAAGGCUAGAGUACGGUAGAGGGGGAUGGAAUUCCGCGUGUAGCAGUGAAAUGCGUAGAUAUGCGGAGGAACACCGAUGGCGAAGGCAAUCCCCUGGACCUGUACUGACGCUCAUGCACGAAAGCGUGGGGAGCAAACAGG
rnacentral:rRNA from 1 species